GUCAAGAGUUCCGGUAGGAACAUGGAGCCUGAGCUGGUAAAUUUGAAUAUCUGAUCUUCCAGGCUCGGAGCAAUGAAUAGUGGUUAUAGGGAAAGGAAUCGCAGGAGGUCAUGUGAGCACACAGCAUAAAGGCAGCUGCCCACAAGCCAGGAAGAGAAGCAUCAUCAGAAACCGACCAUACUGGCUUCCUGAUCUCAGACUUUCAGCCUCCAGAAUGAGAUGGGGGUGUGAAAGGAAAUGAAAUCUUGGGACCCUAAACUCAUUAAGCCAAAGGGAAAAGCUGGGCCGAGAACUGGAUGAUGCAACCUGCUUCCACCUUUUUGCUUCCUAAAUAAGAUGGCUACAAGAUGAAAAGCUAUACAUCUCUGCCAUAUUUUGCCCACAAGGAAAUUCCUAGUGAGCUUCAAGAUCUUUUAAGGUGUUUCUGUUAAAAUUUCACAAUUUCGCCAUUGCAAUGUAAAUUUAUAGCUUAUCCUUACAGGUGCAGUCAUCUCCCUGCCCACCAGACACAAAGGCAUAUCUGAUUGUUCUCCUGCCCCAUUUUGUCUAUGUUAUCUUAUGUAAAAUACAGAUACCCUGCAUUUUUCCUCUGCCCCAUUUGUCUAUAUCACCUUAUAUAAAAAAAUGCAGAGUCACUGAGCCGGACAAAGGCAUGAACGACUAUUUUUCCCUACCCCCGCUCUUACAUGAAAAUUGUGUACUUCUGAAUAUCCUGCCCUUUCCCCUUUAAAUUUGGAGCCCUCAGAAUCAUCUUCAGAGAAAGGCAUAGACCUGUCUCCCGGGCAUACAUCCUUAACUGUGGCAAAUAAACCUCCUAAAA
ensembl:lncRNA SLC38A4-AS1 SLC38A4 antisense RNA 1